rnacentral:rRNA from 1 species
GACGAACCGUACGAACGUUAUUCGGAAUUACUGGGCUUAAAGGGUUUGUAGGCGGCCUUGUAAGUGGGGUGUGAAAUCCCUCGGCUCAACCGAGGAAUGGCGCUCCAUACUGCAAGGCUUGAGGGAGACAGGGGUAAGCGGAACUGAUGGUGGAGCGGUGAAAUGCGUUGAUAUCAUCAGGAACACCGGUGGCGAAAGCGGCUUACUGGGUCUCUUCUGACGCUGAGGAACGAAAGCUAGGGGAGCGAAC